rnacentral:rRNA from 1 species
UACGUAGGGACCGAGCGUUGUCCGGAUUUAUUGGGCGUAAAGAGCUCGUAGGCGCCGCGCAAGUCGAUUGUGAAAACUCGGGGCUCAACCCCGAGCCUGCGUUCGACACUGCACGGCUAGAGUCUGGUAGGGGGAUCUGGAAUUCCUGGUGUAGCGGUGGAAUGCGCAGAUAUCAGGAGGAACACCGGUGGCGAAGGCGGCAUCCUGGACCGACACUGACGCUGAGGAGCGAAAGCAGUGGGGAGCGAACAGG